GAUUGACGAUGGGUUUCUAAUUUGACUGGAACGAUGGAUAUGAAGUUUUGGAAGGAAUGGGGUACGUUCAGAACACAAUACACAAUGAGUCAUCAUGCGAUUGUUGCGAUGGAUUGGUGAUGGGAAACAGCAACAUUUUUUAGCGCAAAAACGAAUUUGAAUUUUUGAUUACUGAUAAUAAAAUGGGAAAUGUUUUUGAGUAUUUGAAAUGAGACAUAAUUAUGAUGCACUCCGGUUUCAACAUGACACAUAGAAACAGAAUUAACAUAAAAAUCCAAUCCAGUUUGAAAGCAAUCUUUAACGAUAUUUAAAAAAAACACUACUAAAAUUAAUAUGAGCUAAAGCCAAAUUGAAGUGAGUGUAUCUUGCACGAUAUUAAGUAAACAAUCAAUAAGCAUUCUCAUGCCAACGUUUCAAAAACAGAGCUGUGAAAUUUGUAAAAAUCAAAUUAUUUAAUAGAAUAAGAAAAGAUAGAAAGUUCCAACUUUAGUGUGAUACAAUUAAGUUUUAAAAACAAUGGUUUUAUAAUUAUUUUUUAUGUUUUUUUUUUCAAGUAUGGCAGCUUUAGAAAGAGGGAUGAAUAUCGAAAUUCUUGCAUGUUUUGAAAUAUAAAAACAUGGUUUGAACUGCCCCACCAAAAUUGAGCAUUAUCAGUGAAUAUCGAUUUCGACUCUGCUGCUUUAUAUAGAACGAUCCAAUUUUUUAAACAAUUGCUAUGUUAUGCCACCUUCCAAUAAUUUUUGUUUUGCUACAAAUUGAUUUUUUCGAAAAUCAUUUACUGAAAUAACAGUUCUCACGAAAACUGCACGUUUCUAAAAAAAAGUUGUCCGAUCGGGCUCAUACUAACUGAUUCGGAACGUUUGGUGCGGUGAAAUGUAAAAUUUGUUCCGUUUAUAUAUUCUCUGCGGUAAACACAACGCAGUAGGCCUGGCCAUUUUGAUUUUUGUACACACUAAAAAAAUAUGAAUUCCACACAUAACGUAAAGAUAAAUCUAAUGUAAAAUGAAUUCAUUUAAUCAAUAAUGUGAUGUAAAAUUAUGGCUGGUUUCACGUACAUCGCCAGUUUUCGGCUAAAAUAUCAAAGCUGAACAUUAAAUAAUCAAAGCCGUAAGAAUCAUUUUCUUUGAACUUAAUUUUACGUCUCUUAUGAUGCACAUAGCUGGAGCGUGUAUUUCGAUGUAAUUUUAAGUGUACUUCAACUGAAAUUCACGUCAGUUCAUCUAACAGUGUAGCGAGCCACUCGAAAUGUCAGCCAUGUUGAAUCGCGAGACAAGUUGCUGUCGGAACGGUUGGAACAGCUCGACCGGUGCUACAAUUCCCGUAAAUUAGGGCAGAUCUGGCAAGUACCUGCCAACUGAAGCAACAAAAUCGCACUCAAAGGAUGCGAAAAACAAAACGGACGGAUUUUCCCUGCUGCAUUUCGUAAAAUUUCGAAAUCAUCAUGAGCAGCAGCUUGGAGGACCGAAAGAACUCUUCCGGCAGGCCUAUGUUCCGGUUGUCUGACUGGAACCUGCCUCAGAACGUUCUGAGACAUCUUCCGAAACAAGAAUCGGAAGAGGAGUGGGAUUUCAUCGUCGUCUUAGUCCCAACGAUUACGGUUCCGACUCACGGACACGGAACACCGUCAGCCGCCGUACGGACAAAGAUGGAUUGAGUUGAGCUUACGCCAACUAUUCGUCCACGGUAGCAUCCAGCAGGACUAGAGACCACCCAAUUUUCCACGAAACGGGCGUUCGUUGUUCCGCAGCUUACUUCACGGAUGGUCAAUCAGGUAAGCUGAAUUUUACCUUGAAUAACAGCAGUUGAAUGAAAAAAAGUGUUUUUCUAGGUUAAAUUGCAUCGCCAAUCAUCAUCCGGUUGGAUCCGGAACCGGCUUGAGAUUUUUAACAAAACGAUCUCCCCAGAAGUAGUUGCGUUCUCGGUGCCCAGCUUGGAUAAUAAGAGGCCACCAACAGCAAUCGGCGGAUGGUUCUUCCGAGACGGAACGUGGAAAGGCGUUUUCAGUGAAUCAAGUUAACUUUGUAUUUUCGGUAACUUCUUGAUCCAGUGCAAGUGUUGCUUGAAACAAGCGAAGAAAAUUAUCAAAUUCUAAAUGUAAAUGUAGCGUUUCUAGUCGUAAAAUAAAAAAAAACAAACUAAAAGUGACUCUUUUCAAUUUUCUAACCUAAAAACCCCAGCGAAUUUAUUUUGAAUUUAGCAAAAUUACAUCAACUUAAAAUUACAUCAUCUCUUAUUCAAUUAGCGUAAAAUUCAACGCUCAUAUGGGUGUCUCGUUAGGUUCAUGUAAUUUCCAAAUCUGAUGUAUAUUGUGUCAAAUCAGACGCUCCAGUUAUGUGCAUCAAAAAGACACAAAAUUACAUGAUUAUUUUUUGGUGUGUAAUACAUUUUCGAUUGUUUUUGGAUGAACUGCAAUGAUUAAUAUUGACAAGAAAAGCUUGGGGCGAUUUUCCAGCAUACUUUUAUCGGACUGGCUGCGUUUGUGUCAAAUUAGAUUAGAUUAGGGUGACCUAUGCGGUGUUAGAAUGGUAAAAAAAUGGCCUUUUUUGAUGAUUUUCGCAAAAUAAAAACACAUUUUAUCAAAAAAUCAGAACCACGCGCCAUUUCAACAGAUUUUAAAUCUCUUUGACGCAAAUGAACGGUGAUUUGUAAAUUUCAUAAAUCUAGCCUUACAUUUGGAAAGGUCGUUUGGAAAUUGAAAAUUCUGUUUUUAAGGGAUCAAAGAGUCUUUGUUUGAAAACAUUGUGGCGUUUCAUUCACAGGAUUCCGAGAUACGAUUUUUUGAAAAUAAAACCGGGGGUUUUCGACGCGCCGGGCGCAAACAGUAAAAUGGCGAAAACGUAAAAAAAAACUUUUCUUUUUUCAGGCUUUUUUAAAGACUACCAAAAGUUUCGUCUUUUAAUCGCGAAAAUUCGCACAUCUGCGCGCGGCCAAUCGUUUUUCGUUUUUCGAAUAGUGCUGUUUUUGUGGGGAAUCGGUUUAUACACAGUUUAAUUUGGGUAUUUCCUAAAAACAAUUUGAAUUUAAUCUAAAAUCAGUAUUAAAUGGCAGGAAUGUUUUACGGUUCUUUUGCUGAAAAAUUAUAGUUUUUUUUCAGUUAUAUUAACCUGCGAUCUUGUGAUGUGCCAACAAAUCUGCCAAAUUUGGCACGCCA